rnacentral:rRNA from 1 species
AGUGAACGCUGGCGGUAGGCCUAACACAUGCAAGUCGAACGGCAGCACAGGAGAGCUUGCUCUCUGGGUGGCGAGUGGCGGACGGGUGAGGAAUACAUCGGAAUCUACCUUUUCGUGGGGGAUAACGUAGGGAAACUUACGCUAAUACCGCAUACGACCUACGGGUGAAAGUGGGGGACCGCAAGGCCUCACGCGAUUAGAUGAGCCGAUGUCCGAUUAGCUAGUUGGCGGGGUAAUGGCCCACCAAGGCGACGAUCGGUAGCUGGUCUGAGAGGAUAAUCAGCCACACUGGAACUGAGAAACGGUCCCGACUCCUACGGGAGGCAGCAGUGGGGAAUAUUGGACAAUGGGCGCAAGCCUGAUCCAGCCAUACCGCGUGGGUGAAGAAGGCCUUCGGGUUGUAACGCCCUUUUGUUGGGAAAGAAAUCCUGUCGAUUAAUACUCGGUGGGGAUGACGGUACCCAAAGAAUAAGCACCGGCUAACUUCGUGCCAGCCGCCGCAGUAAGAC